GCAUCUAUAGCUCAGUAGGAUAGAGCGGUGGUUUCCUAAACCAUGUGCCGGAGGUUCGAAUCCUCUUAGGUGCACCA
rnacentral:tRNA from 1 species